UACAGAGGUCCCGAGCGUUGUUCGGAUUUAUUGGGCGUAAAGGGUGCGUAGGUGGCAAAGUAAGUUGGAUGUGAAAUCCUGGGGCUUAACCUCAGAAUUGCAUUCAAUACUGCUUAGCUAGAGAGCUGUAGAGGAGACUGGAAUUUACGGUGUAGCAGUGAAAUGCGUAGAUACCGUAAGGAACGCCAGUGGCGAAAGCGAGUCUCUGGGCAGCAUCUGACACUGAGGCACGAAGGCCAGGGGAGCAAACGGG
rnacentral:rRNA from 1 species